AAAGAGAGAGAGAGAGAGAGAGGCAGGCGGAGUGAGAGAGGCAGGAGCUGGAGCCCUGCGCGGCAGCGCGGCCAACUUUCCUCCUGCAGCGCAGCAGGAGCAGCCUCCCAUCCCUCGGUGUGUAACCCCCGCCCCGGCGCAGUGACCGGCGCACUUGGGCUGCAUCCCGGGGCACUGAGGGGUGUUCCCCGCUUUCCUAACAAUCCUGCAUAACGGGGGUAAGCCGUGCUCAUUCACUCCUCUUCCCAUUCCCAACAGGCCUGCUAGCCAAGUCAUUUGCCUGAAAGCUUCUCUGUCGCCACUUCUUUCUAGAUGCUUCAACAUCCCCGGCUCAAGAUGCUGCUGGGAAAUCACAUGUUCUGUUUAGAUCACUGCUUCCCUUUGCCUCUACAGGGAGAGAGACACGAGGAUGGAAAGCCCUGGUGCGUUUUUGUUGCCUCCAUCUCUCCAGGUUAUGGCUUUUGCCUCUCAUUGCUUGCUUAUUGUUUGUUAUUCACAGUCCCAAAAGAAGGCAUGGCAAAUCUUUGCUGAAGGAGAAUGUUCAAGAUUCAAAACGCACGUUAACUAACUUGAUCCCAUCUUAGGGUUUUUCUCCAGCCCUGUUUUCUGCUCUUCAACAAAAUUUUAUUGGUGUUCCAAACUCACUUUGUGUUUAGUAUAUCCUAGUGGUGUUCACAGAAGAUUUUUCUCUCCUUCUAAAUAUCUGGUCCUUUGUUCAUUGCUGAGUUGAUCCAGACUGCAGGGAGGUUUUGUGUCUUACAGAAAACAGUUUCUUCCUUAAUGUAAUAGUCACUGGGAGACAAUUCAUACAUAAUCAGCAGAAAGAAAUAGCCCCAAAUUAUGAUCAUCCUGAUUCUCCAGAGUGUUUCUCACCUUUGCUUUCUUGUGAAUAGAAGUCUCUAAAUCACUGUCAUUAUGCCUUUACCAAGUAAUACUUUUAGGCCUUUCCAUCCUGGUUAUACAGGGACAUGACUUUAAGGGGGGUUGGUUUGCAGCCAAAGGUAUUUCAGCUCCUACACUACAAAUUCAUCAGUCAUCAAUGCUACUGAUUGGAGAUACCAGCUGGUUUGGAUGGAUGGUGAACUCCUGCUGAAAUUCAUUUUUCCAGUGACCAAAUGUACUUAUGAAAUAGGGGGAUAUCCAAACAGAUUUGUUGGGAUUUUUUUUUUUUUUGAAAGAAAAAAAAAAUCAUUUAUGCAGAAUGGACUGGGGAACGGAUUUCUGGAUCAUCAAGUCAAACAUUCUUGCUUCCAGGCAGUUUGUUUCCUUCUGACACUUCCAAAAUAUCGGGGUUUUUUUUCCAUAAUGUUAUCAAAGUGAGAUUCAGUAACAUCAGGGAAGUAAUAGUUUCCUCUAACACUGUUUCUCUGUGUUUGCCAUUCUCCCUGAACUAAACUAAGCACAUUCCUCCUUCAGUCUGUGAAGACCAUGGGACUUUGUGUCCAUGAGGAAAUCUGAUCUCAUUUGGUUUACUUGAAUUUUUCAGCAGAACCAAGAAGAUCUAAGUAGAGGAGCAAUCAGAAUCCAGCAAUGACAGGGGCUGCAACUCUUGCUACAGACCAGAGCAUACUUCUCCCAUUUUUUUAAAUCGGCCUCUUCUCUUGCCCAAAGCCAAUACACUAAAUAACUCAUAACUAACUAGUGUUAAUUAUGCCACUUUCCUAUGGCACUACAUGUGCCAUAAAUUGUCCUGUUCCUUUUGCUGGAAAGCUGAUGACUAUGCCUGAUUUGAUUUUAAUAGUUGCAGCUCUCUGGUACCCUGCUGAUUUUUGGAGAAGGUUCUUCAAAUAGCAACAGAAAGGGGCUUGUGGUGGGGCAGGUGAACUGCAGCAGGCUCGUUUGUGGUUUGGUGGAUUCUCUUCAGGUGCAGCAGCAUCACUGAGAGUCCUCCUCAAUACCAGGCUGUGCACUGCAUCCUUAAUGCAUUGUGCCAGCACAUUUCACAGCUUCUCGUGGCAAGAACUUGUGGGGUCAGGUGUCUAGCAGUGGUAACCAACCCUUUCUUUUUGUCUCCAAAGGUGCUUUUCUCCACAGCUGAUGGAGAUGCACCUCAGCAGGAAAGUUUCUGUGCAGACAGAAACACAAAGUGCUGCACUGACAGGGAUCAACACAAAGAGGUAUCUGAAAGGGGCAGAGGUGGGGAGGAAGAAAGUCCACCUCCCUGGGUCUGAUGGCUGUUGGAGCAGGACAGCCCAUGAUGGCUUGUGAGCCUCCAUGGUCCUUCAUUUCUGCCUGUGAGGAGUUGGGGAUUUGGGAGCCAUCAAGGCAGGAUGUCAAAAAGGAAAUGCCGCCUGGAAGAAGAAAUUACCAGACAUGUACAAUCAGCUUUUCUUACAAAAUGGAGGUUUGUAGGAGUCAAAGAAGGGAUGAGACUCUGCAGGCAUAUAUCACUAUAGCUUCAGGGCAAUCAUAUCACCACGGGUCACUCUGAGCAGGGCUGUUACAGGGCUAGUGCUAACCCAACAAUUGGCCACUGCCUUCAGUGGAAGCACCCUAAGGAACAGCACCUGGCUGGGGAGUCACACCGUCCUGAUCUUUGGUCCCCUCUGGUGAGCCCUUGGAGACAGAGCUGCUCUGCAAGCCCCAGGACCAAACCACAUGGGAGCCAGCACAGCGUGAGAGCAGGAGAGAGUCCUGCUCUGGAAGCCACACAGCCAGUGCUGCAGGAACUGCUUUGUCUAGCCAGCAUUCCAGGACUUCAGGAGAAUCCCAAACUGCUGCAUCCACUGAUGUGCUAAAAUGCUCGUGGGAGAGUCACGUUUCAGUGUGGUUCUCAGCUGCCCAAAGCCAGAAUUUGGGAUAAUGUGAUGCAGGCUCGGGACACCACGAGUGAGGAAGUGGAAAGGCAGAGCCUUGCGAGUGCGUUGGUGGGCUGUAGGAAGAGCAGCAGCACCACCUAUCACCGGAGAGGGAAGGACAGAGGACAGACCAGGUGCUGCUCCUCCUGCCUCUUCUCAGUACAAGAAUGGAGCCCAGAUUUUCGGGAUCACCACAGAGAAACUUCAUUCUUCUAGCAGAAGAACCUGGCUUAAAUCUUCAACUGCAGUCCUUCUGCUAAAUCUUCCUGUGGUGCACAGCUAGCAGAAGGAGAUGGAGGGGAUGGAAAGGUGAAGGUUUUGGAGAAGGGCUGAGAGCUGGAAUUUACAGUGGUAAUGAACCAGAAUAAAAAGAAUAACCUCCAGGUCUACAAUACCCAAAGAACUGCUCAUCACUCAGAGGGCACAACAAGGCCCCAGGACCCUGUGCUCCAGGUUGUGCAGGGCUUUUGUCUCCUGGGUUCUGCCAGUCAAAAAUCCUGGCACCAGAAUUAUUGGUAUGGUCUCAACCAUAUGUGGCUUGAUUAUAAUUCAGAGUGAUGGAACAGAGCAAUCAGCAAGUAGCCCAAAAUCUGCAAUUUUUUCUUGCCAAAGGCAAAAAGAAUCUUUCUAUGUAAUUGGAUCCAACCCCAAAGGCGUAGCCAGGAGUGCUUUUAACUUUCUGAGAAAGAAAAAUUGGUUAGCUGGAAUGGCUGAGCUCUGUGGGUGCUGAGGUUCAUGUUGAUUUGUUUGCUGGUAGUUCUGAAACCAGAAUAAAAAUGAGAGUUUGGAUUAA